AGGGUGGAGCCAGGAGGAGCUAGCUAGCUGCUGCUCGAACGAGUGAUCAGAUAUAGCAAAAAUAAACCAAAAGGCAUUAGAUUCGAUGCGAUCGUUGUCUAUCGUGUUCAAGUCUGAAAGUUCGUCGCCCUCAUCGCUAUCAUUUGUACUAUUCCUAAAGUGCAUAUUAUUCCUACAUCUGGGGCAGGAAUUCCUUUUUAAUGAAAUGCUACAUCCCGGCC
rnacentral:lncRNA from 1 species